UGGGGAAUAUUGCACAAUGGGCGCAAGCCUGAUGCAGCCAUGCCGCGUGUAUGAAGAAGGCCUUCGGGUUGUAAAGUACUUUCAGCGGGGAGGAAGGGAGUAAAGUUAAUACCUUUGCUCAUUGACGUUACCCGCAGAAGAAGCACCGGCUAACUCCGUGCCAGCAGCCGCGGUAAUACGGAGGGUGCAAGCGUUAAUCGGAAUUACUGGGCGUAAAGCGCACGCAGGCGGUUUGUUAAGUCAGAUGUGAAAUCCUCGGUCUCAACCUGGGAACUGCAUCUGAUACUGGCAAGCUUGAGUCUCGUAGAGGGGGGUAGAAUUCCAGGUGUAGCGGUGAAAUGCGUAGAGAUCUGGAGGAAUACCGGUGGCGAAGGCGGCCCCCUGGACGAAGACUGACGCUCAGGUGCGAAAGCGUGGGGAGCAAACAGG
rnacentral:rRNA from 1 species